ACUGCUUCUUGACCUUUUCGCUAAGAUCAAGUGUAGUAUCUGUUCUUACCAGCUUAAUUUACCCAGGAUUGUUAAAGCGAUGUUAGAAAGUUUAUCUGUGGACAUGGAAAGAUGUUCAUAAUAUAUUUCCAAGUGAACAUGACAAUAGCAACAGGAUGUAAAAUUGUAUGAAAAGUA
ensembl:snRNA U2 U2 spliceosomal RNA